rnacentral:rRNA from 1 species
GUGGGGAAUAUUGGACAAUGGGGGAAACCCUGAUCCAGCAAUGCCGCGUGAGUGAAGAAGGCCCUAGGGUUGUAAAACUCUUUCACCCGUGAAGAUGAUGACGGUAGCGGGAGAAGAAGCCCCGGCUAACUCCGUGCCAGCAGCCGCGGUAAUACGGAGGGGGCUAGCGUUGUUCGGAUUUACUGGGCGUAAAGCGCACGUAGGCGGAUCGAUCAGUUGGGGGUGAAAGGCCUGGGCUCAACCUGGGAACUGCCUUCAAUACUGUCGAUCUAGAGUCCGGGAGAGGGUAGUGGAAUUCCCAGUGUAGAGGUGAAAUUCGUAGAUAUUGGGAAGAACACCGGUGGCGAAGGCGGCUACCUGGUCCGGUACUGACGCUGAGGUGCGAAAGCGUGGGGAGCGAACAGGAUUAGAUACCCGUGUAGUCC